AUUGAACGCUGGCGGCAGGCCUAACACAUGCAAGUCGAACGAGAGGCGGACGGGUGAGUAAUGUCUGGGUGACUGCCCGAUAGAGGGGGGUAACUACUGGAAACGGUAGCUCAUACCGCCUACCAUCGGAUGUGCCCCCAUGGGAUUAGCUAGUUGGUGGGGUACUGGCUCACCAAGGCGACGAUCCCUAGCUGGUCUGAGAGGAUGAUCAGCCACACUGGAACUGAGACACGGUCCAGACUCCUACGGGAGGCAGCAGUGGGGAAUAUUGCACAAUGGGCGCAAGCCUGAUGCAGCCAUGCCGCGUGUAUGAAGAAGGCCUUCGGGUUGUAAAGUACUUUCAGCGAGGAGGCGUUACUCGCAGAAGAAGCACCGGCUAACUCCGUGCCAGCAGCCGCGGUAAUAC
rnacentral:rRNA from 1 species